rnacentral:rRNA from 1 species
AACAGGAUUAGAUACCCUGGUAGUCCAUGCCGUAAACGUUGGGCACUAGGUGUGGGGAACAUUCCACGUUUUCCGCGCCGUAGCUAACGCAUUAAGUGCCCCGCCUGGGGAGUACGGCCGCAAGGCUAAAACUCAAAGGAAUUGACGGGGGCCCGCACAAGCGGCGGAGCAUGCGGAUUAAUUCGAUGCAACGCGAAGAACCUUACCAAGGCUUGACAUGUGCCAGACCGCCUCAGAGAUGGGGUUUCCCUUCGGGGCUGGUUCACAGGUGGUGCAUGGUUGUCGUCAGCUCGUGUCGUGAGAUGUUGGGUUAAGUCCCGCAACGAGCGCAACCCUCGUUCCAUGUUGCCAGCACGUAAUGGUGGGGACUCAUGGGAGACUGCCGGGGUCAACUCGGAGGAAGGUGGGGAUGACGUCAAAUCAUCAUGCCCCUUAUGUCUUGGGCUUCACGCAUGCUACAAUGGCCGGUACAAUGGGUUGCGAUACUGUGAGGUGGAGCUAAUCCCUAAAAGCCGGUCUCAGUUCGGAUUGGGGUCUGCAACUCGACCCCAUGAAGUCGGAGUCGCUAGUAAUCGCAGAUCAGCAACGCUGCGGUGAAUACGUUCCCGGGCCUUGUACACACCGCCCGUCAAGUCACGAAAGUUGGUAACACCCGAAGCCGAUGGCCUAACCAUCCUUGUGUGGGGGGAGUCGUACG